rnacentral:lncRNA from 1 species
UAUUGACAUUAAGUAGUGACUUGGACUUGUAGAGAUGGAUGGAUGAUAUGGUGCUUGGAUGGCACCUAAGAGGUCUAAAGUUUGAGUCUCCAUGGUGGCACAUGGAAGAAGAUGGACAAAAAAUAUUCUUAAAAAUCCUUAAUUAAUUUAAUGAGGAUAUCUAAAGGGUUGGCUCUACAAUGCUUGUAUUAAGAGAUUAUGUUAGGUGACAAGAAUACUUGUCACCUAUGGGUAGGAGCAAGGAAUCUCCCUUAAUAGUAGCAUGAUGUAUGUCUUUUGGAUAGAUUGGUAUAUAGCUUCCCCUAAAAAGGAAGAAGCUACAAGUUGGUAGUAGCUUAAAAUAAGAUGGCAUCAAUCCUUUAGAAUCUUCAAUCCUAAAUUUUUUCUUUUUUCUUUCAAGACAUAUACAUACUCAAAUAGAAAUA